ensembl:lncRNA
UGCGCAGGAUGUGAUGUCGCACCUGCCAGGCUGCUCUUCAGGUCAGACAUGUGCUUGGACGUAGAUUUGCUCGUCUGUGCUGCGUAAAAAAGCUAUGUCAGUCUUGUUUAGAUGGUGUUACCGUGGACACACAAGCAGGUCUGUCAGUAAUGACCCUGGUGUGGCCGUGUCUCCUGCUGUUGUAAUUCAGUGGAGCGCUCAGGAACAGCAGACCCUGUGUCUUUGUGCCGUGACACCUAAGGACUUUAAUCAGCUGUAUCGGUAGCGGGGCAGAACAGCCAAGAGACCAGACAGCUGCAAACUGAUGCACAGGCAAAGGCACAGGCACAGGCACAGGCACAGGCACAGGCAAAGGCACAGGCACAGGCACAGGCAAAGGCAAAGGCACAGGCACAGGCACAGGCACAGGUACAGGUCAGGUAUUUAGUGACUUGAAGAGACACCUUGCAGUGGUCGGGAAUCAAACCCGGGUCGUGUGCUUGCAGGGUGAUGUAAUACAGUGAAUAGAACGAGGAGGAAAAGAAUCGGACAAUGGCAGCACAACUCUUCAAAUCUUUGUGAAUGCAAAACAAACAGAGAGAGAUUGAGUGAGAGAGAGAGAGAGAGAGAGAGAGAGAGAGAGAGAGAGAGAGAGAGAGAUUGAGUGAGAGAGAGUGAGAGAGAUAGAGAGAUUGAGUGAGACUGAGAGAGAGAGAGAGUGAGAGAGAGAGAGAGUUAGAGAGAGAGUGAGAGAGAUUGAGUGAAAGAGACAGAUAUAGAGAGAGAGAGUGUAAAUGGACUACAUUUCUAUAGCGCUUUUCUACUCAUGGAGCGCUGAAAGCGCUUUACAGAUGAAGGCCUC